rnacentral:rRNA from 1 species
GCACUCCUACGGGAGGCAGCAGUGGGGAAUAUUGCACAAUGGGCGCAAGCCUGAUGCAGCCAUGCCGCGUGUAUGAAGAAGGCCUUCGGGUUGUAAAGUACUUUCAGCAGUGAGGAAGGUGGGUAUGUUAAUAGCAUACUCAUUUGACGUUAGCUGCAGAAGAAGCACCGGCUAACUCCGUGCCAGCAGCCGCGGUAAUACGGAGGGUGCGAGCGUUAAUCGGAAUUACUGGGCGUAAAGCGCAUGCAGGUGGUUUGUUAAGUCAGAUGUGAAAGCCCGGGGCUCAACCUCGGAAUUGCAUUUGAAACUGGCAAACUAGAGUACUGUAGAGGGGGUAGAAUUUCAGGUGUAGCGGUGAAAUGCGUAGAGAUCUGAAGGAAUACCGGUGGCGAAGGCGGCCCCCUGGACAGAUACUGACACUCAGAUGCGAAAGCGUGGGGAGCAAACAGGAUUAGAUACCCUGGUAG